rnacentral:rRNA from 1 species
UACGGGGGGGGCAAGCGUUGUUCGGAAUUACUGGGCGUAAAGGGCUCGUAGGUGGCCAACUAAGUCGGACGUGAAAUCCCUCGGCUUAACCGGGGAACUGCAUCCGAUACUGGAUGGCUUGAGUUCGGGAGAGGGAUGCGGAAUUCCAGGUGUAGCGGUGAAAUGCGUAGAUAUCAUCAGGAACACCGGUGGCGAAAGCGGCUCACUGGGUAUCUUCUGACGCUGAGGGACGAAAGCUAGGGGAGCGAACGGG